rnacentral:rRNA from 1 species
AACGCGAAGAACCUUACCUGGGCUCGAAAUGUAGUGGAAUCGGGUGGAAACAUCCGCGUCUCGCAAGAGACUGCUAUAUAGGUGCUGCAUGGCUGUCGUCAGCUCGUGUCGUGAGAUGUUGGGUUAAGUCCCGCAACGAGCGCAACCCUUAUCCCUAGUUGCCAUCGGGUCAAGCCGGGCACUCUAGUGAAACCGCCCAGGAUAACUGGGAGGAAGGUGGGGAUGACGUCAAGUCCUCAUGGCCUUUAUGUCCAGGGCUACACACGUGCUACAAUGGUCGGUACAAACCGUCGCAAACCCGCGAGGGGGAGCUAAUCGGAAAAAGCCGGCCUCAGUUCGGAUUGGAGUCUGCAACCCGACUCCAUGAAGCUGGAAUCGCUAGUAAUCGCGGAUCAGAACGCCGCGGUGAAUACGUUCCCGGGCCUUGUA